GAUGAACGCUGGCGGCGUGCCUAAUACAUGCAAGUCGAGCGAACAGACGAGGAGCUUGCUCCUCUGACGUUAGCGGCGGACGGGUGAGUAACACGUGGAUAACCUACCUAUAAGACUGGGAUAACUUCGGGAAACCGGAGCUAAUACCGGAUAAUAUAUUGAACCGCAUGGUUCAAUAGUGAAAGACGGUUUUGCUGUCACUUAUAGAUGGAUCCGCGCCGCAUUAGCUAGUUGGUAAGGUAACGGCUUACCAAGGCAACGAUGCGUAGCCGACCUGAGAGGGUGAUCGGCCACACUGGAACUGAGACACGGUCCAGACUCCUACGGGAGGCAGCAGUAGGGAAUCUUCCGCAAUGGGCGAAAGCCUGACGGAGCAACGCCGCGUGAGUGAUGAAGGUCUUCGGAUCGUAAAACUCUGUUAUUCGGGACGAACAAAUGUGUAAGUAACUAUGCACGUCUUGACGGUACCUAAUCAGAAAGCCACGGCUAACUACGUG
rnacentral:rRNA from 1 species